rnacentral:rRNA from 1 species
GACGAACGCUGGCGGCGUGCUUAACACAUGCAAGUCGAGCGAGGAACUUCGGUUCCUAGCGGCGGACGGGUGAGUAACACGUGGGUAACCUGCCUCAUAGAGGGGGAUAGCCUCCCGAAAGGGAGAUUAAUACCGCAUAAGAAGUGGUUUUCGCAUGAAGACAGCUUUAAAGGAGUAAUCCGCUAUGAGAUGGACCCGCGGCGCAUUAGCUAGUUGGUGAGGUAACGGCUCACCAAGGCCACGAUGCGUAGCCGACCUGAGAGGGUGAUCGGCCACAUUGGAACUGAGAUACGGUCCAGACUCCUACGGGAGGCAGCAGUGGGGAAUAUUGCACAAUGGGGGAAACCCUGAUGCAGCAACGCCGCGUGAGUGAUGAAGGCCUUCGGGUUGUAAAGCUCUGUCUUUUGGGACGAUUAUGACGGUACCAAAGGAGGAAGCCACGGCUAACUACGUGCCAGCCGCCGCAGUAACAC